rnacentral:lncRNA from 1 species
UUACUAAUGUUAGUGUAUUUUAUGUGUGGCCUAAGACGAUUCUUCUUCCAGUGUGCCCCAAGGAAGCCAAAAGAUUGGACACCCCUGGAAACUCAUCAGUCAGAGGAGAUGUGAGUGAGAGGCCUCAAGUGACCCUUUCUGGAAAUUCUUCCAUAUGAAAACAUGGGAGGAGGGAGGUUUCCUAUGUAGGAACCACAUGUGCAAAAAUGGCAAAAGAAAGAGAGGAGCAAGAGAUCCGCUUAUGAUAAUCCAACAAAACGAUAACUGGAACAGAAAAGAAAACGACGGCCAAUCAAACCCCUGAGUGACUCCACAUUGUCUUUAAUUCUCCUCUAAUCAAAGAGCAGCACACAGUUGUGAGAGGUGGUCCGAGCCGGGGAGAUUAUGCAGAGAGUGACUCCAUUCAGAGAAAUUUUGGCAUGAUUCCUAACCUCUUAGCCUGAGGGAGAAUUUCUUAAAUUUUAUUUGUGGUUCUCACCUGAGAGAAUUGAUGCCUUCAAGAGAGCACCAGACAGAGGCUAAACAGACAUGCAAUAAAAUUAUCCUCCUUGGAUGGGUCAGGAGCUGGCUGAUAACUUACUCUAAGCCUACAUCAAUCAGGGAGCAGCAGGGGCAUCCACAGUCAAGGAGAGCUGAAGGUGGCAGGGCGUACAGCCGCAGAUCAUCUUAAAUAAAGAUAUAGAAGGCAGACUCUCAUAAAAGAAACCAUAAAUGAAACAAUGAAUAACGACUUCUGUUUAUCAUUCUCUAUUGUUUGCAACUUUCACAAUAAGCGUGUAUUGUUUUCUUAAAUAAAUAGCAAACAAUAAACUCAUAUUGAUAUGGCAUCAAUUUUCACUGAAUACCCUAAGAGGAAGCCAUGUUUUUC